CAGGAGUAAACCGAAAAUCCUAUCAAAGAGUAGGUG
rnacentral:ncRNA from 1 species